GACGUGGUUUUUAAAAUGAUGCGAUAGCUCGCACGUAGCAGAGGGUGGUUUCGAUCCACCGACCUCUGGGUUAUGGGCCCAGCACGCUUCCUCUGCGCCACUCUGCUGAAGGUAGGUAAGCUGAAAUGUGUCUCAUGUAAGGUGUAGUUUAGUAUUGCGAACAGCACUCGAACUAUGACCUUUUUACCAUUUCCAGGGGGAUUAGCUCACAUGGUAGAGCGCUCGCUUUGCAUGCGAGAGGUACCGGGAUCGAUGCCCGGGUUCUCCAAUGCCUUUUCCAUAGGCGUAAAAUGAAUGAAAUUUGCGCAGAGCAAUUUGCAGCAGCGUUCGUGUCAUGUCGGGAUGGCCGAGCGGUCUAAGGCGCCAGACUCAAGACAAAAUGUUCUUCCACUCAUCGCGUGGAGAAUUCUGGUCCUCGAAUGAGGGCGUGGGUUCGAAUCCCACUUCCGACAACUUUUCCCUGCCACACAAAAUUUUAGGCCUAAAAUGCAAGUCCACCGAGCCGGAUUUGAACCAGCGACCUAAGGAUGCCUGAGUGGUAUAAGUUCGUCUACAGUCCUCCGCUCUACCAACUGAGCUAUCGGUGGAUGUAGCAUCGUACAGUUCUUGUGCAGGACUAUGCAGGUCAUGUCACGUUUGUAGUAUGACGUGGUUUUUAAAAUGAUGCGAUAGCUCGCACGUAGCAGAGGGUGGUUUCGAUCCACCGACCUCUGGGUUAUGGGCCCAGCACGCUUCCUCUGCGCCACUCUGCUGAAGGUAGGUAAGCUGAAAUGUGUCUCAUGUAAGGUGUAGUUUAGUAUUGCGAACAGCACUCGAACUAUGACCUUUUUACCAUUUCCAGGGGGAUUAGCUCACAUGGUAGAGCGCUCGCUUUGCAUGCGAGAGGUACCGGGAUCGAUGCCCGGAUCCUCCAAGACGAUGUUUUUAAUUUAUUUAUUUUUAUACUCAUUUCAGUAGUUGCCAAUGGUCAUAAGAGGAUUUAUGAUGCUCGUAAGAUUACCUGGUAUUAAUAAUAAUAAUAAUAAUACUAAACCGCGCUGCAUAUGUCUAGAGCAUUUCUUGCUGUUUAAUUUCGCAUUGACAGUAUACACAGUUUCAGCUUUUAACAUGAUCGACCGUGUGGCAUUCGGGCAUUGACGCCAUCGCGAACAUAUUAUUUAAAUAUGAACUCGUCCUCGGUAGUAUAGUGGUAAGUAUCCCCGCCUGUCACGCGGGAGACCGGGGUUCGAUUCCCCGCCGGGGAGGUUCUUUUUAUCUUGUCAAUGUUUCGUUUCACGUCAGUAGCGUUCGCGGGACUGUCCGGGAAUACAGAUUUACGCCCGGUUAGCUCAGUCGGUAGAGCAUCAGACUUUUAAUCUGAGGGUCGCGGGUUCGAGUCCCUCAUCGGGCGUAACAAUUAUUUGGUACGAUGGUGAACUAACUUUCACCACAAUGUCUUGUCGAAAGAGGAUGAAUAACGUAACAUUUGCGGAGUGGCAAAGGCGAAGCAAACUUGAUGGGGAACUAGCUCAGAUGGUAGAGCGCUCGCUUAGCAUGCGAGAGGUACCGGGAUCGAUGCCCGGGUUCUCCAAUGCCUUUUCCAUAGGCGUAAAAUGAAUGAAAUUUGCGCAGAGCAAUUUGCAGCAGCGUUCGUGUCAUGUCGGGAUGGCCGAGCGGUCUAAGGCGCCAGACUCAAGACAAAAUGUUCUUCCACUCAUCGCGUGGAGAAUUCUGGUCCUCGAAUGAGGGCGUGGGUUCGAAUCCCACUUCCGACAACUUUUCCCUGCCACACAAAAUUUUAGGCCUAAAAUGCAAGUCCACCGAGCCGGAUUUGAACCAGCGACCUAAGGAUGCCUGAGUGGUAUAAGUUCGUCUACAGUCCUCCGCUCUACCAACUGAGCUAUCGGUGGAUGUAGCAUCGUACAGUUCUUGUGCAGGACUAUGCAGGUCAUGUCACGUUUGUAGUAUGACGUGGUUUUUAAAAUGAUGCGAUAGCUCGCACGUAGCAGAGGGUGGUUUCGAUCCACCGACCUCUGGGUUAUGGGCCCAGCACGCUUCCUCUGCGCCACUCUGCUGAAGGUAGGUAAGCUGAAAUGUGUCUCAUGUAAGGUGUAGUUUAGUAUUGCGAACAGCACUCGAACUAUGACCUUUUUACCAUUUCCAGGGGGAUUAGCUCACAUGGUAGAGCGCUCGCUUUGCAUGCGAGAGGUACCGGGAUCGAUGCCCGGAUCCUCCAAGACGAUGUUUUUAAUUUAUUUAUUUUUAUACUCAUUUCAGUAGUUGCCAAUGGUCAUAAGAGGAUUUAUGAUGCUCGUAAGAUUACCUGGUAUUAAUAAUAAUAAUAAUAAUACUAAACCGCGCUGCAUAUGUCUAGAGCAUUUCUUGCUGUUUAAUUUCGCAUUGACAGUAUACACAGUUUCAGCUUUUAACAUGAUCGACCGUGUGGCAUUCGGGCAUUGACGCCAUCGCGAACAUAUUAUUUAAAUAUGAACUCGUCCUCGGUAGUAUAGUGGUAAGUAUCCCCGCCUGUCACGCGGGAGACCGGGGUUCGAUUCCCCGCCGGGGAGGUUCUUUUUAUCUUGUCAAUGUUUCGUUUCACGUCAGUAGCGUUCGCGGGACUGUCCGGGAAUACAGAUUUACGCCCGGUUAGCUCAGUCGGUAGAGCAUCAGACUUUUAAUCUGAGGGUCGCGGGUUCGAGUCCCUCAUCGGGCGUAACAAUUAUUUGGUACGAUGGUGAACUAACUUUCACCACAAUGUCUUGUCGAAAGAGGAUGAAUAACGUAACAUUUGCGGAGUGGCAAAGGCGAAGCAAACUUGAUGGGGAACUAGCUCAGAUGGUAGAGCGCUCGCUUAGCAUGCGAGAGGUACCGGGAUCGAUGCCCGGGUUCUCCAAUGCCUUUUCCAUAGGCGUAAAAUGAAUGAAAUUUGCGCAGAGCAAUUUGCAGCAGCGUUCGUGUCAUGUCGGGAUGGCCGAGUAUGGAGUCAUGUACUGGACAAAAGUCACGCUAUAGAGUGUCGUGUUGCGUAGUAGAGUGUCGAGGUUCAAUAUAGAUCCCAAGGUCGCGAGGCGUAGUAUAGGUGGACGCGAGGCGUAAUAGUGAGACGCGUAUGUAAUAAUAGAGAGACGCGAGGCGUAAUAGAAGGACGCGAGGCGUAAUAGAGAGACGCAAGGCGUAAUAGAGAGACGCGAGGCGUAAUAGAAGGACGCGAGGCGUAAUAGAGAGACGCGAGGCGUAAUAGAGAGACGCGAGGCGUAAUAGAAGGACGCGAGGCGUAAUAGAGAGACGCGAGGCGUAAUAGAAGGACGCGAGGCGUAAUAGAAAUACGUGUAAAGUCGGAGCGUAAUAAGAUGUGUGAUGGGAGGAUCCGUGUCAGAGAAAGAACUACGCUUACAUACAUCUUCACUUUUUUCUUGUCAUGAAUACUUUAAAAGGAAAAAAUGAAAAAAAAAGAUUCCAUACUUGGUGUACAAGGGCUACUAGUU